rnacentral:tmRNA from 1 species
GGGGCUGUUUCAGUUUCGAUUGCUACGGGAGAGCGACGUAAGCAUACCAAAGGCUCGGCUUUGUAAAAACGGAAACUUAAAUUUAAACGCAGAAUCAAAAGAUUCCAAAGUAAUGGCAUUCCCUGCUCGUCAGGCUGCCCUUGCUUGCGCAGCGUAACUUACGCUGUCCGUCGUCGUAUCCUCUCCGCUUGGGGUGCGCACGGCGCUAACAAGAGCGGAAACCGUUAAAAAUCCGACUGCGGUUUUCGGCGGUAAUUUAGCAGUUUGCCCGCACAUAUGUCCCGUUUACCGGCGUUUGUGCGGAAAGAUUAGUAGGUAAACUAAGUAUGUAGAAAGCGCGUUUGAACGUGGUAAGACUCGGGUGCAAGUCCCGACAGCUCCACCA